GACAGAGGUGCCAAGCGUUAGGCGGAAUCACUGGGCUUAAAGCGUGUGUAGGCGGAUCGUUAAGUCCCUUGUGAAAUCCCACGGCUCAACCGUGGAACUGCUGGGUAUACUGGCGGUCUUGAGCCACCUAGGGGCAACUGGAACAAGCGGUGGAGCGGUGAAAUGCGUAGAUAUCAUGAGGAAGACCAGUGGCGAAGGCGGGUCUCUGGACAGUUCCUGACACUGAGACACGAAGGCCAGGGGAGCAAACGGG
rnacentral:rRNA from 1 species